GCACAACCCAGCAGCCCACUCCUGUCUGCUUGCUGCUCAAGUUCAACUCUGGUCAGCAGCCGCUUCAGGCAGGUGCCUUAGGUCUCAGAGUCCCCAGCUCCUGGCCACUGAAUCAGGGCUGGUGGCCCCUCCCCCGCUGGCCUGCCCAACGGUGGCAGCUGUGGGCGUGGCAUCCUGCAGCCACCAGGCCCAUCUGCGGGUUUACGCUGGGCAUCCUCCCUGAGAGGGCGGGACAGUCGUCUGUCACUUUUACAAAUAAAUAAAGAGACAAGGCACGGUCAAUGACUUGCCUGAGAUUGUGAGUAAAAGCUACCGGACUCUCCAGAACGAACCACAAAAUCUCCAACUACAUCCUGACUCGGAGUGUUACCCUCUGGAAUCAAAACGGUGGCUUAAAAAGCAAAGCAGAAGUUACUCUUGUGUGAACCAGAGGAGCUGUGAACGUAUAAAAUUAGUGGCCGGAGUUCCCUUACGGUGCAGCGGGUUAAGGAUCCGCAGUUGUCACCGUGGCCGCCCGGGUCACUGCUGUGGCUCGGGUUCCAUCUCUGGAAGCCACAUGCUGUGCUUGCAGCCAACAAAAGCUAGUGACAAUGGCCAAUUCUUUAAUUAAUUCCACCUGCUUUAAAACUGGAAGUACGAAUGUGAG
rnacentral:lncRNA from 1 species